GGCUUCCGGCAGUGGCGAGGUGCUGAUAGCGCUGAGCACUCAGAGGCUGAAAUUGGAUUUACCCGCAGGCUGAGGGCAGCGCUGGGCUGGCAAGCCUUGGAGUCAACAUCCAUCCAUUCAUUCCUAAGGGGGGGAAAAGGAAAUACACUAUCCGAACUCAAGAGGCCUAUUUAUUUAUCCCCGUUAGCAGGCAGGACACUUGACAAGCCCACGUCUUGGGGCUCGUUAGCGUCUUUAUUGCGAGAAGAUCUCGCCCGCAAGUUCCCACGGGGGCCAGGAGUCAGCGGGGCGCAUUUUCCUUAAAAAGCCUUCUUCACAGAGUGGGCUGGAAUCGCAACCGUUAAAGAGGCCUCACCGCACAAAGGGGCGUCCCGGCGGUAAUCGGUAAUCGGGAAAUAAAUUUGAUUUUCUGAAUUCUUCGGCAGCUGGUGACAAAGGAGCAGAGCAGAGAGCUCCGCUGGUCGUUAAUCAAACAGCGCCUUGACCUGGAUCUGGGGGCUGCUGGCUCUGAUGUUGGCUGCUGUGUGACCUUGGGACUGUUCCUUCUCCUCUCUGGACCACAGCUGCCUCAUUCAGAAAAUGAAGGAUUUGGACUAGAUAGUUUUUAAGGCUGUAGUCUCAUGAAGAUGCCCCCUUCCUUUGCUCCUGGCUGUGUCAUUGCACUGAGGACUGCUUCAUGCAAACUGGAGGCUCUGCUGGGCCAAACAGAAUUGUGAUGAAUCACCUGGGCUUUGACGGCAGACAGGUCUGGGGUCACGCUGUGCUCAUCCACUUCCUGGCCGGAUGACUUUGAUGAAGCGCCUUGAUCUCCCUGAACCUCAGUGUCCUCGCCUGUAAAAUAAGGACGAUAAUCACAUCCACCUCACAGAGCUGCUGGGGUUGGUCCAGAGUAAGCCACUGAUUAAAGGCAGCUGUUAUUG
ensembl:lncRNA